GGCGGGGCUCUGCCUAGUGUUUUCUCUUGUCCUACACCCUCCCUCCUCCUGGGAGAACCGUAGCAGAGUGGUCACCAGAUCGAGUUCUCUCAUCUCACCUGUGACGCAACAUAUUGGCUGCCAGCCGCCGUUAAACCACAACGAAGAAGAAGGAUGGGCUGGGCGGUAGGAAACGAAAGUAAACUGUAGCGCUCUUCUUCGGCUGAAUCGCUCGUCUGGAGUGUCUGAAAACGGACCCGUCCAUGGCCACCUGCUGUCCAGCUGAGAUCCUGAUAAUGGCAGAAAUAUGCAGAGAAGAAGAAGGAAAAGAGGAAGAUGAUGAUGAAGAAGAAUACAACAGAGAAGUGGUUUGUCCACAAGAGGGCGACGCACUACUAGAGACCUUUGGUAGGAUGUGUCAUGGGAUGAGCUGAGCUGCUCAAAACGAAAGGAAACUGUAGCGCUCUGCCAUCGGGCUUCAUUAUUUUCCAGUCGGCUGGCUGCGCCUGGAGUGUCUGAAAAUGGACUCAUCAAAAGUGGUAGCUGCCUCUGAGAAGGAACAGAAGCCAGCAGGGAAGGAGAGUGAAGAGACGCCAGCGAACCGUCCAUCACCUCUUAUGGAAUGUGAGUGAACAUAGAGGAUAUUAGUCCAGGGUGCGAAUUAUGGGUUGGCUCAAAUAAACCGUCAGGGUUUGGGAAGGUUACUUUCUAAAUGUGAUCCGUUACAGUUACAAGUUAUCUGUCGGUAACGUAACUUUUGGAUUAC